AAGUCGUAACAAGGUUUCCGUAGGUGAACCUGCGGAAGGAUCAUUAUCACAAAAUGAUUUUUAAGGUCUCUCUUAAUCCAGAGCCUUAAACCUCUUCUUAAACCAAUUUAAUUCAAAUGUGAAACUGUUCAUUUUGUUGUGUUUGUUUUUUCUUUGUUUUUUUUUUCUGAUUGAUGAUUGGCUCUCUUGAGCCUUUCAGAAACAAAAAGAAAAACAAAAAAACAAAAA
rnacentral:misc_RNA from 1 species